rnacentral:lncRNA from 1 species
AUGGCUAAGACUUUCAGACUAGUUUUGCAUUUAUUUCCCCAGAUUUUGAUGUCCCAUUGGCUGUCUGGUUCAGAAUUCAUAAUGCUUUGUCGGCGUCUCAAGUUAAGUUUGGAGAAGAACAUGUCCAAAUUCUCCAUUUCGCCUCCAUUCAAUGCAACUGUUGGCAGCAUGGAACUUCUCUUCAAGGAGUUAUCUACUAUGGAGGCUGUGCCUGAACUUGGAAUGGAAAGUUAUUUUUCUCAGGUUCUUGCUUGAGGAUCUCUAGAUCUCAACAUGCAGGGUAAGCUGUGUAAAAACGGCCAAAGACAGUCCAUGUUCUGAUAUAUGUGGGAUUCUAUGGGGAGAAUGUGAACAAGAACCUGGGGACAGAAAUGAAGAUCCAGCACAGGUGUCAGCCAGCCAGUCAGCCCGACAAAUGGCAAAGAAAUUAGUAAGUUCUUAAAAUAACAUUGCCAACACAGACUUUAAGCAUAAAAAAUACUAGCUCCUGAUGGAAUCGAGGAUAGAGUUUAUGACAUUAAUAUUAUCCUACGAGGGAAUUCAAUGAAAAACCCGACCACCAUCUCCCCAUAAGGGAAGCUAGGCCUGGGAUGGGGAGGGCACAUGACCUGGGAGGAAGUCAGUGGGCCCCCAUGCAAGGGGACCACACCUGAAGGGACCAGUUGCAAAGGAGUUGGAAGAUGGCCCAGCCUCUGCCAGAGACAUGGCAGUCCAUUUCAAGCGAGCCAAUAAUUGCAGGGCCCACUACCUUUAAGACAGCUCUUUAGGAGGACUUUGAUUGUUCUCCUGGCUAUCAUGCAAAAAUGAACACUCAUCUAUCACUUGUUGAUCAUUUAGCAGGAAGAACUGUCUGCUAAGACAGUCCAAUCGCAGGUGUCCUCAAUCAGAACUUCCUUCUCUUCAAUGGCCCAAGACACCCAUAAGACUUUCUUUAAAAAUGUUGGGGCCUUGACAUUGAGAAAGGCAAUGGAGUUUGUAAUGGAAAGCUUCUGCACCUUCAAGUGAGGACUAAGGAGAAUGAGCUCUGGGUAGCCAUCUGGGUCAAGAGAGAGAUGGCACUCCAUCCUGAUGCCACAUGGGGUCUGUCAUCCUGCCUCCAGACCCCCCACCACCUCACCCUGCUGCUUAACUCAACCUCAUGGUGCUUUUAUGGGCUUCUCUCUAUGGACUGUCUGUCCAUAAUGGUUAACUUCAUCUAGGGAGAAAAAUCUAAGAAUUUCCUCUCCCUUGAAAGACUAGUACUAUAUGUUUUUAAUGAUGUUUUGGGAGUCUAUAACUUUCUUCAUAAAACUCAAUAGUAAAGUAUGUUUAUUUAUGUAAAUGUAUAUUUAUAGAUAUAUAAAAUAUAUUUAUUACUGAAUAUAUAUAUAUGGUGCCAAAUCCAGCAAAUUGUAUCUUUAAGAAAUCCCAUAGGAUAAUUGUGAAUGCAGUCUGAUUACAUUUUUUUAAAAAUAUGACUUUAAAAAAAUUACCCUAGAAAUAAUUACCUCUGCUUUUUCCCUUUUUUGGCUUAACUUUCAGGU